rnacentral:rRNA from 1 species
AAUGAACGCUGGCGGCAUGCCUAACACAUGCAAGUCGAACGAAGGCUUCGGCCUUAGUGGCGCACGGGUACGUAACGCGUGGGAAUCUGCCCUCAGGUUCGGAAUAACAGCGAGAAAUUGCUGCUAAUACCGGAUGAUAUCGCGAGAUCAAAGAUUUAUCGCCUGAGGAUGAGUCCGCGUAGGAUUAGCUAGUUGGUGUGGUAAAGGCGCACCAAGGCGACGAUCCUUAGCUGGUCUGAGAGGAUGAUCAGCCACACUGGGACUGAGACACGGCCCAGACUCCUACGGGAGGCAGCAGUGGGGAAUAUUGGACAAUGGGCGAAAGCCUGAUCCAGCAAUGCCGCGUGAGUGAUGAAGGCCUUAGGGUUGUAAAGCUCUUUUACCCGGGAUGAUAAUGACAGUACCGGGAGAAUAAGCUCCGGCUAACUCCGUGCCAGCCGCCGCAGUAA